ACCUCUUCCUUUGCUGCUCAUGCUUCUCCCUCCGACGCUGCCUGGGAUCAAUCCAAGAUAGAUCUUCAUCACUCCCUAUUAGUGGGUGCUCCGACAUGCCUUCCUCCUGGCCUUCAGCUGGAACCUGAGGCGUUGCCAGAAAGGAGGGUCCUGGAGAGGGAGGCCUUGUCAGUUCCUCCCCAUCACUUUCAGAGUCAUCUUCCUCCAUGAGGCCAGGCUCGGAAGCCAGAGUCACAACAACAAUGCACAACAUAAAAGAGAAACAACUGGACAGGAUAAAUGAGCUGCAUAAACUAUUUGUAAGGAAGAAGCACAAUGGAAUAUGGAAGAAGUUAAAGGAUGGCGCAGUCACUUCCGUAACAUUUGAGGAAAUACCAUUUAUUAAAUGACAUAUUCUGGGCUA